UACGAAGGGGGCUAGCGUUGUUCGGAAUUACUGGGCGUAAAGCGCACGUAGGCGGGUUGUUAAGUCAGGGGUGAAAUCCUGGAGCUCAACUCCAGAACUGCCUUUGAUACUGGCGACCUAGAGACUGGAAGAGGUUAGUGGAAUUCCCAGUUGUAGAGGUGAAAUUCGUAGAUAUUGGGAAGAACACCAGUGGCGAAGGCGGCUAACUGA
rnacentral:rRNA from 1 species